rnacentral:rRNA from 1 species
GACGAACGCUGGCGGCGUGCUUAACACAUGCAAGUCGAACGGAAAGGCCCUGCUCUUGUGGGGUGCUCGAGUGGCGAACGGGUGAGUAACACGCGAGUAUCCCGCCCUUGACUUUGGGAUAACUUCAGGAAACUGGGGCUCAUACCGGAUAGGAGCUCCUGCUGCAUGGUGGUGGUUGGAAAGUUUCGGCGGUUGGGGCUGGACUCGCGGCUUAUCAGCUUGUUGGUGGGGUAGUGGCUUACCAAGGCUUUGAAGGCUAGCCGGCCUGAGAGGGUGACCGGGCACAUUGGGCCUGAGAGACGGCCCAGACGCCUACGGGAGGCAGCAGUGGGGAAUAUUGCACAAUGGGCGGAAGCCUGAUACAGCAACGCCGCGAGCGGGAUGCUGUCCUACGGGUUGUAAACCGCUGUCUCCGGUGACGAAGCGUGAGUGACGGUAAUUGGUAAAGAAGCACCGGCUAACUACGUG